GGAGAGCAUGAGGGUGAAGGGUAGAUAGACGGAAAGAGGGAGCAAUGAGGGGGGCGGGCGCGGUUGUCAGGUAGAAGCCGUCACGGGGCGUCAGUGUUGAGGACUCCGUCAUACCUUGUAGUGCCAACCCCGGGUGUAUUACAGGCUGGGUUUCCAAUUACCCGUUCUUUUUUUUUAAUCAGAGACUGACUCGACGUUGCUCCACAUAAUCGAAGGACACCCUUCCCCCCC